rnacentral:rRNA from 1 species
GAUGAACGCUGGCGGCGUGCCUAAUACAUGCAAGUCGAGCGAACGGACGAGAAGCUUGCUUUUCUGAUGUUAGCGGCGGACGGGUGAGUAACACGUGGAUAACCUACCUAUAAGACUGGGAUAACUUCGGGAAACCGGAGCUAAUACCGGAUAAUAUUUUGAACCGCAUGGUUCAAAAGUGAAAGACGGUCUUGCUGUCACUUAUAGAUGGAUCCGCGCUGCAUUAGCUAGUUGGUAAGGUAACGGCUUACCAAGGCAACGAUGCAUAGCCGACCUGAGAGGGUGAUCGGCCACACUGGAACUGAGACACGGUCCAGACUCCUACGGGAGGCAGCAGUAGGGAAUCUUCCGCAAUGGGCGAAAGCCUGACGGAGCAACGCCGCGUGAGUGAUGAAGGUCUUCGGAUCGUAAAACUCUGUUAUUAGGGAAGAACAUAUGUGUAAGUAACUGGGCACAUCUUGACGGUACCUAAUCAGAAAGCCACGGCUAACUACGUGC